AAAAAAGCAGGGUCUAUUUCCUUCAUAUAUAAUUGGCCUCCUGUAAACUUUAGGGAGAUGAUGUACAUUGUUUAUUGGGUGAACCUUUGUAGACUUUGUUUGUGACAAAAGGUUCGGUAAACAAUGGAACAUUG